rnacentral:lncRNA from 1 species
AGUCUCCCAAUUGAGACCUGACCUGGGGCUCAUUUUGGGGCUUGAACCCCGACGUUUAGUAGCCUAGGGGCGUGGCCAUGCUGGAUCUGGGGCUGACCUCCGAGCAGCGCUUAGACCCUCGGGAGCCUUAGGAGAGCGGGAAAGUUGCUAAUAGGUACUUGUCCUCAGCUCCACACCCCCGGAGGGCCUCAACUCACCUCGGCGCAGUGCCGUUGUCCCCUGUGCGUCCUCCGUGUGUGCCACCGGUCGCUGGGCACGUGGAGCCACCUGGCUGUAGAUCGGGGUGUCCGUGCUGGUGGGCGCCCGCGGCCCCGGCCCUGUGCCCGCCGAAGCGCCACGCUUCUGCACCACAGCGCAGUCUAUUCCAGCUAGCAAUUCCAGCUCAUUGUAUCAUGAACAUGUGGCCAGAGGCUUCUCAAGAAAUACCACUGGAAAAGGAAGGCUGGGGCUGGCGAGAUGGCUCAGCGGUUAACUGACUGCUCUUCCGAAGGUCAUGAGUUCAAAUCCCACAACCACAUGGUGGCUCGCAACCAUCCAUAAUGAGAUCUGAUGCCCUCUUCUGGGAUAUCCGAAGACAGCUACAGUGUACUUAUGCUUGGGGCCAGAGCAAGUGGGGCAAGGAGGGUUUGGGCUAGAGCAAGAGGGGCAGAGAGAGAAGAAAAAGUGUCUGAAGACAGUUACAGUGUACUUACAUAUAAUAAAUAAAUCUUUAAUAAAAAGAAAGAACAA